rnacentral:rRNA from 1 species
UUGGAGGGCAAGUCUGGUGCCAGCAGCCGCGGUAAUUCCAGCUCCAAUAGCGUAUAUUAAAGUUGUUGCAGUUAAAAAGCUCGUAGUUGAACUUCGGGGUUUACCCAUUGGUCAGGCUUAAUUGUCUGUACUGGUGAGAUAAAUCUCUACCUUCUGAGGAACUUUCAUGUCAUUAAUUUGGUGUGAUUGGAAAUCAGGACUGUUACUUUGAAAAAAUUAGAGUGUUUAAAGCAGGCUAACGUCUGAAUACAUUAGCAUGGAAUAAUGAAAUAGGACGGACUGAUUCUAUUUCGUUGGUUUCUAGGAUCACCGUAAUGAUUAAUAGGGAUAGUUGGGGGCAUUAGUAUUCAAUUGUCAGAGGUGAAAUUCUUGGAUUUAUUGAAGACUAACUACUGCGAAAGCAUUUGCCAAGGAUGUUUUCAUUAAUCAAGAACGAAAGUUAGGGGAUCGAAGACGAUCAGAUACCGUCGUAGUCUUAACCAUAAACUAUGCCGACUAGGGAUCGGACGAAGUUAAUUUUAUAAUGACGCGUUCGGCACCUUACGGGAAAC